UAAAGCUUUGAAUGGGUCGAUUGGGUUCUGGAGGUGUGUGGUUACAGCAAUUGCGCAGGGUUGGUGUGGCCUGUUGUGGUGUGGCCCAAUGUGAUAUAUUUUCAAGGGGCCCAAAAUCCCUGGCGGCGCCUGCUCAGGUGAGAAGCUUCCUGAGGUUUCCUCUCUCCAGGCCAGGAGAGUGUAUGAGCCUGUCAUCAUUCAGCAGCAUCUGUCACUAUGGGAGAGCCUGCAGUUUACUGAGAAGUCAAAAAGCAGUCAACAUGGAGAACCUUCCUGUCAACAAUAGCAAUGGUCAGUCCUAUGACUACACUCUAUAUGAGACCACCAUCAGCAGUGGAGACCUUCUGAACUCCAGGAACAAUGUUAAAGACAGAGCCCUGGUGUUUGUGGACUAACUCUUUGUUGGAGUUCUGGACUAUAAGAUGCUGGAGUUUGCACUGCCUGAUGGGAAGGUGUAGUGAUAGUGUGUUUCGGGCGACAGGUAGCCUAACGGUUAUAGUGUUGGGCCAGUAACCGAAAGGUUGCUGGUUUCGAAUACCUGAGCUGACAAGGUGAAAAAUCUGAUGUGCCCUUGAGCAAGGCAAUUAUCCCUAAUUUGCUCAAGGGGCACCAUACUACUAUGGCUGUCUCUGUAAAACAACACAUUUCACUGCAGCUAUCCGGUGUAUGUGACAAUAACCCAUUAUUUUAUUCUAUUCAGUCUAUAGGUGUGCUGCUGAGCUGCUUUCUAAACUGGCUAGUUUAUAUUCAACACCAUGAUAGAGGUGAAAGCUUCUGGUAAUGCUGAUCAAUGAGUGUGUUACUAAGGUGCCAGGAUUAAGCCAACAAAGUUUCCAGACAAAUGUUGUUCUAACAAAGAAGAAUCGUAAUCACUAACUUUGCACCUGCCUGUUAUUGGAAAACAAGUCCAUGCUGUCCUAUAGCACAGCAGCAGAUUGGACUUGAUCAAUUAUUAUCUUCAGUUCAACUGAAAGCCACGUUUCCUCUACUGUCUCUAGUUAGUCUACUUUGCAUUGUGGACUGUAGAUAGUACGUCCAAUUGUUUCCACAUAUUUCAUGUACUUUCCAUUGAAGGGGGAGAGGACAUUGAGUUUACAUGUGGAGAACUGUGGGAGAGUGAACUGUGGUAAACUCCAAGAUGAACAGCGUAAAGGCAAUUCGAUAGUUUUACCUACUGUUUCUGGGUCAGUGAUAGCCUUGUGGUAGUAUAACUAGACACAUCUAUUGGUAAAUCCUUUCAGAAUAGGUGCUCAAAAGCAGCUAAUUAACCACAAUGUAGAAAAUCAAAGACCGCCUUAUUUCAGCCUUGGCUUAUUUUUCAGGUCUUGUCGGAGACAUUGAGUUGAACAAUAACCCGCUAUGAGGCUUUAUCAUUCAUAGUCUGGGUAUGAAGCCUGGCUUUGUAAAUAGGUUUGUACUGAUCAUGAACAUCUUUCAAUUUCCGUCCCCAUGUUUAUUUGUUCUGUUCUGAGUCUGUCAUUGCUCCUGCCUAGCUCGGAUUCUGUUGAUUAUCUUCUUGGUUCUCUCUGAGCGUAGAAUUACAAUGCCAGAUUGCAGAAAAAACAGAUUUUUCAUGUGGUUUCCCACUGCCAUGUUAAAAACCCAUUAUAAUCAGCUGGGAAAUUAGCGCUGUCUUGAAAAUGCCUGCCCACUAAGAACAACACUACAUCAGAAGAUCAGAAGUGGAAUUAAACCAUUUAUAUAUCCACGACUGAAGUCAUGCCAUUGUACACUCUCACAAAUGAUCUCGUUAUAUUAAUAAAUAUAAUGAGGAAUCAUAUUAGUCAGUGAUUUCCUGUGUUAUAAUAGGGUGAUCUCCUCCCAUGUUUCAGACUGAGUGCAGCAAGCCAGUGGAACUCUGUCUCCCAGAGGCUUUCCUUCCUUCCCAGGGUUCUUCCAGGGCAUGCUGUAUGUGGGCGGCCAUCCCAGAGACACCUUCAUCAGACUGCCUGGCUGGAGUAAAGGAGUGGUCUUUAUCAACGGGCAGAAUCUGUGACGCCACUGGUCCAUCGGUCCCCAGCAAACCCUCUACCUCCCUG